AGGGGAGUGAAAAAGAACCUGAAACCGUGUACGUACAAGCAGUGGGAGCACGCUUAGGCGUGUGACUGCGUACCUUUUGUAUAAUGGGUCAGCGACUUAUAUUCUGUAGCAAGGUUAACCGAAUAGGGGAGCCGAAGGGAAACCGAGUCUUAACUGGGCGUUAAGUUGCAGGGUAUAGACCCGAAACCCGGUGAUCUAGCCAUGGGCAGGUUGAAGGUUGGGUAACACUAACUGGAGGACCGAACCGACUAAUGUUGAAAAAUUAGCGGAUGACUUGUGGCUGGGGGUGAAAGGCCAAUCAAACCGGGAGAUAGCUGGUUCUCCCCGAAAGCUAUUUAGGUAGCGCCUCGUGAAUUCAUCUCCGGGGGUAGAGCACUGUUUCGGCAAGGGGGUCAUCCCGACUUACCAACCCGAUGCAAACUGCGAAUACCGGAGAAUGUUAUCACGGGAGACACACGGCGGGUGCUAACGUCCGUCGUGAAGAGGGAAACAACCCAGACCGCCAGCUAAGGUCCCAAAGUCAUGGUUAAGUGGGAAACGAUGUGGGAAGGCCCAGACAGCCAGGAUGUUGGCUUAGAAGCAGCCAUCAUUUAAAGAAAGCGUAAUAGCUCACUGGUCGAGUCGGCCUGCGCGGAAGAUGUAACGGGGCUAAACCAUGCACCGAAGCUGCGGCAGCGACGCUGAUGCGUUGUUGGGUAGGGGAGCGUUCUGUAAGCCUGUGAAGGUGUGCUGUGAGGCAUGCUGGAGGUAUCAGAAGUGCGAAUGCUGACAUAAGUAACGAUAAAGCGGGUGAAAAGCCCGCUCGCCGGAAGACCAAGGGUUCCUGUCCAACGUUAAUCGGGGCAGGGUGAGUCGACCCCUAAGGCGAGGCCGAAAGGCGUAGUCGAUGGGAAACAGGUUAAUAUUCCUGUACUUGGUGUUACUGCGAAGGGGGGACGGAGAAGGCUAUGUUGGCCGGGCGACGGUUGUCCCGGUUUAAGCGUGUAGGCUGGUUUUCCAGGCAAAUCCGGAAAAUCAAGGCUGAGGCGUGAUGACGAGGCACUACGGUGCUGAAGCAACAAAUGCCCUGCUUCCAGGAAAAGCCUCUAAGCAUCAGGUAACAUCAAAUCGUACCCCAAACCGACACAGGUGGUCAGGUAGAGAAUACCAAGGCGCUUGAGAGAACUCGGGUGAAGGAACUAGGCAAAAUGGUGCCGUAACUUCGGGAGAAGGCACGCUGAUAUGUAGGUGAAGUCCCUCGCGGAUGGAGCUGAAAUCAGUCGAAGAUACCAGCUGGCUGCAACUGUUUAUUAAAAACACAGCACUGUGCAAACACGAAAGUGGACGUAUACGGUGUGACGCCUGCCCGGUGCCGGAAGGUUAAUUGAUGGGGUCAGCGCAAGCGAAGCUCUUGAUCGAAGCCCCGGUAAACGGCGGCCGUAACUAUAACGGUCCUAAGGUAGCGAAAUUCCUUGUCGGGUAAGUUCCGACCUGCACGAAUGGCGUAAUGAUGGCCAGGCUGUCUCCACCCGAGACUCAGUGAAAUUGAACUCGCUGUGAAGAUGCAGUGUACCCGCGGCAAGACGGAAAGACCCCGUGAACCUUUACUAUAGCUUGACACUGAACAUUGAGCCUUGAUGUGUAGGAUAGGUGGGAGGCUUUGAAGUGUGGACGCCAGUCUGCAUGGAGCCGGCCUUGAAAUACCACCCUUUAAUGUUUGAUGUUCUAACGUUGACCCGUUAUCCGGGUUGCGGACAGUGUCUGGUGGGUAGUUUGACUGGGGCGGUCUCCUCCUAAAGAGUAACGGAGGAGCACGAAGGUUGGCUAAUCCUGGUCGGACAUCAGGAGGUUAGUGCAAUGGCAUAAGCCAGCUUGACUGCGAGCGUGACGGCGCGAGCAGGUGCGAAAGCAGGUCAUAGUGAUCCGGUGGUUCUGAAUGGAAGGGCCAUCGCUCAACGGAUAAAAGGUACUCCGGGGAUAACAGGCUGAUACCGCCCAAGAGUUCAUAUCGACGGCGGUGUUUGGCACCUCGAUGUCGGCUCAUCACAUCCUGGGGCUGAAGUAGGUCCCAAGGGUAUGGCUGUUCGCCAUUUAAAGUGGUACGCGAGCUGGGUUUAGAACGUCGUGAGACAGUUCGGUCCCUA
rnacentral:rRNA from 1 species